rnacentral:tRNA from 1 species
GUGGGAAUAGCUCAGUGGUAGAGUGCAUGCUUAGCAUGCAUGAGGUCCUGGGUUCAAUCCCCGGUACCUCCG